rnacentral:misc_RNA from 1 species
CCAAUAGCGUAUAUUAAAGUUGUUGCAGUUAAAAAGCUCGUAGUUGAAUUUCGGGGUCAGUAGGUCGGUCGUGCCACUGGUAUGAACUGGUUUUACUGAUUCCUCCCUCUUGAAGAACUGUAAUGCCAUUAAUUUGGUGUUGCAGGGAAUCAGGACUGUUACUUUGAAAAAAUUAGAGUGUUUAAAGCAGGCUUUAGCUUGAAUACAUUAGCAUGGAAUAAUGAAAUAGGACGUUUGAUCCUAUUUUGUUGGUUUCUAGGAUUGACGUAAUGAUUAAUAGGGAUAGUUGGGUGCAUUAGUAUUCAAUUGUCAGAGGUGAAAUUCUUGGAUUUAUUGAAGACUAACUACUGCGAAAGCAUUUGCCAAGGAUGUUUUCAUUAAUCAAGAACGAAAGUUAGGGGAUCGAAGACGAUCAGAUACCGUCGUAGUCUUAACCAUAAACUAUGCCGACUAGGGAUCGGAUGAUGUUAAUUUUUUAAUGACUCAUUCGGCGCCUUACG